rnacentral:rRNA from 1 species
CUAGCAUAUCAAUAAGCGGAGGAAAAGAAACCAACCGGGAUUGCCCUAGUAACGGCGAGUGAAGCGGCAAGAGCUCAAAUUUGAAAGCUGGCUCCUUCGGGGUCCGCAUUGUAAUUUGCAGAGGAUGCUUCGGGAGCGGUCCCCAUCUAAGUGCCCUGGAACGGGCCGUCAUAGAGGGUGAGAAUCCCGUAUGGGAUGGGGUGCCCGCGCCCGUGUGAAGCUCCUUCGACGAGUCGAGUUGUUUGGGAAUGCAGCUCUAAUUGGGUGGUAAAUUUCAUCUAAAGCUAAAUAUUGGCCGGAGACCGAUAGCGCACAAGUAGAGUGAUCGAAAGAUGAAAAGCACUUUGAAAAGAGAGUUAAAAAGCACGUGAAAUUGUUGAAAGGGAAGCGCUUGCGAUCAGACUCGCUCGCGGGGUUCAGCCGGCCUUCGGGCUGGUGUACUUCCCCGCGGGCGGGCCAGCGUCGGUUUGGGCGGCCGGUCAAAGGCCCCUGGAAUGUAACGCCUCUCGGGGCGUCUUAUAGCCAGGGGUGCCAUGCGGCCUGCCCGGACCGAGGAACGCGCUUCGGCUCGGACGCUGGCAUAAUGGUCGUAAGCGACCCGUCUUGAAACACGGACCAAGGAGUCUAACAUCUACGCGAGUGUUCGGGUGUCAAACCCGUGCGCGCAGUGAAAGCGAACGGAGGUGGGAACCCCUCGGGGUGCACCAUCGACCGAUCCUGAUGUCUUCGGAUGGAUUUGAGUAAGAGCGUAGCUGUUGGGACCCGAAAGAUGGUGAACUAUGCCUGAAUAGGGCGAAGCCAGAGGAAACUCUGGUGGAGGCUCGCAGCGGUUCUGACGUGCAAAUCGAUCGUCAAAUUUGGGUAUAGGGGCGAAAGACUAAUCGAACCAUCUAGUAGCUGGUUCCUGCCGAGU